rnacentral:rRNA from 1 species
AUGUCGACGGAGAAGAAGCAGCUGAACCCCAUGCGGGAUAUCAAGGUGCAGAAGCUCGUCCUCAACAUCUCCGUCGGUGAGAGCGGAGAUCGCCUCACCCGCGCCUCCAAGGUGCUGGAGCAGCUGAGCGGACAGUCACCAGUGUUCUCCAAGGCUAGGUACACUGUCAGGUCGUUCGGUAUCAGGCGUAAUGAGAAGAUUGCGUGCUACGUGACUAUCAGGGGUGAGAAGGCGAUGCAGCUGCUGGAGAGUGGCCUGAAGGUGAAGGAGUACGAGCUGCUCAGGAGGAACUUCAGCGACACCGGCUGCUUUGGCUUCGGUAUCCAGGAGCACAUCGAUCUCGGCAUGAAGUAUGAUCCAUCUACCGGCAUCUACGGUAUGGACUUCUUUGUGGUGCUCGAGCGUGCUGGGUACCGCGUCUCCCGCCGCCGCAGGUGCAAGGCCCGCGUCGGUAUCCACCAGAGGGUCACCAAGGAGGACGCCAUGAAGUGGUUCCAGGUCAAGUACGAGGGUGUCAUCCUCAACAAGUCCCAUGCGAGCUAA